rnacentral:rRNA from 1 species
AGUGAACGCUGGCGGUAGGCCUAACACAUGCAAGUCGAACGGCAGCACAGUAAGAGCUUGCUCUUACGGGUGGCGAGUGGCGGACGGGUGAGGAAUACAUCGGAAUCUACUUUUUCGUGGGGGAUAACGUAGGGAAACUUACGCUAAUACCGCAUACGACCUACGGGUGAAAGCAGGGGUUCUUCGGACCUUGCGCGGUUGAAUGAGCCGAUGUCGGAUUAGCUAGUUGGCGGGGUAAAGGCCCACCAAGGCGACGAUCCGUAGCUGGUCUGAGAGGAUGAUCAGCCACACUGGAACUGAGACACGGUCCAGACUCCUACGGGAGGCAGCAGUGGGGAAUAUUGGACAAUGGGCGCAAGCCUGAUCCAGCCAUACCGCGUGGGUGAAGAAGGCCUUCGGGUUGUAAAGCCCUUUUGUGGGGAAAGAAAAGCAGCAGGUUAAUACCCCGCUGUUCUGACGGUACCCAAAGAAUAAGCACCGGCUAACUUCGUG